AACCAUAGAAACCUGCGGAGUACCUGCGGAGGGAUCAUUAGUGAACGCCCUCACGGGCUUAUAACUAUUCCAAACCUCUGUGAACCGUGCCCUUCGGGGCUAUUUUACAAACAUGGUGUAAUGAACGUCAUAUAUCAUAACAAAACAAAACUUUUAACAAUGGAUCU
rnacentral:misc_RNA from 1 species